UACGUAGGGUGCGAGCGUUGUCCGGAAUUACUGGGCGUAAAGAGCUCGUAGGUGGUUUGUCGCGUUGUCCGUGAAAACUCACAACUCAAUUGUGGGCGUGCGGGCGAUACGGGCAGACUGGAGUACUGCAGGGGAGACUGGAAUUCCUGGUGUAGCGGUGGAAUGCGCAGAUAUCAGGAGGAACACCGGUGGCGAAGGCGGGUCUCUGGGCAGUAACUGACGCUGAGGUGCGAAAGCGUGGGGAGCGAACAGG
rnacentral:rRNA from 1 species